rnacentral:rRNA from 1 species
UACGUAGGGAGCAAGCGUUAUCCGGAAUUAUUGGGUGUAAAGGGUGCGUAGACGGGAGUCUAAGUUAGUUGUGAAAUCCCUCGGCUCAACUGAGGAACUGCAACUAAAACUGGACAUCUUGAGUGCAGGAGAGGAAAGUGGAAUUCCUAGUGUAGCGGUGAAAUGCGUAGAUAUUAGGAGGAACACCAGUGGCGAAGGCGACUUUCUGGACUGUAACUGACGUUGAGGCACGAAAGUGUGGGGAGCAAACA